GUAGGAUAUGAAGGGGGUUUUUAAUGAGGCUUAUCUUCUAUCAAAAAAAUUAAUCUAUAGUGGGAAGAGCUUUCUCUUUUAAAUCUGAUAAGCCCCUAUGUGACUUUUUCAUCAGUGACCUUCUUUGAUCUGGUUAUCCUUACGUGUUUUGAUUUCUCUUGUUCUGUUGUGGAAUUGCCCUUAGAUUGCCAAUCUUUCUUGCCCGGCUGGAUAAUCUGCCGUCUAUUUUGUAACAGCUAUAAAUGGAGUCAUCUUUUUUUGCCGCACAUGUAUACUGGAUACUCAGUUUUGCUUUGAAACGUAAAGAUGGCAUUUUAUCAAAAAAAAAAUGUAAAGAGGGGUAGUCCAUUGGUUUUUGCUGUAUGUCAGUAUCCCUUUGAACUCAUUUGUCAUCUUAGCAAACAUGGUAAGUAAUCUGUAUUUUCUUACAUGUGUUCCAUACACAAAUAUUCAAAUACAGUGUUUUUGUUAAUUUCAUUUCAGGUACUUUUCAGAUUUCGAAUCAUAAAACAUGUGAACGGUAACACGCGGCUUUAAAAGUAUUUUGACUCUUCCUGAGAAUUGCCUUUUAAGUGUCUCUUUUAUAAAAAAAGAUCCAGGUCUGAGUUGUCUCUCUGGCGGAAAAAAUAAGGGCGAUUCUUUUAAGCACUCUUGAGAGAUCAUCAUUUUUCCUAUGGUAGACAAGGAUUCAUCAGGGCCAAUUCCUGAUCGCUGGAAGUUGGUUGUCAAAAAGCAGAAGGAUGGGUCUAGUCUUUAGGUAAUUGAUCAUUUAAUUAUCCUUUGUUUAUCUCUUUAUGAUCUAUGUGAUUCAGACACUAGAAAGCUCUGAUACAUAUCAGUCCCUUUAAUCAAGUUUUCUACAUGCACUAAUUUGUUGAAUGCUUUGUAAUAUUUCUUUGUUUAUUGAUGAUUAAUUAAGUCGAUCUGAUUUUGUCUUUCUAGAUUUUAUUAUCAAAUCUAUGCAUUGUGCUUUUAUGUGAGGUAUGAAUGUCGCAUCUUCAUAUAAAUAUUAAGAGUAUUUUUUAUGCAUUUACUAGAUAUGAACCUUAGUUUUCUGUUUCGAGAAAGUGACAGAACUGUGAUUUGGUGAUUUAAAAAGUUUUGAUUCCCUUUUCAUUGCAUGCACUUGAUGAAACUAAAAUCGAAGCCCCUUUCUGAAUGUAAAUCAGAUGCUAGAAACUGAUAUUAACAAUCUAUCUGGUGGGAAGUAUUCUUUUGAAAUUGACAAUCAAUCAUUUCUAGGUAAAAGAUCUUUAUAUUUAGUUGUGGUCUUAACUAAAUUUCUAAAUCUCGAAGGUGUGUAAUUUGUGACUGUAGAGAAAGUCUAGGAUAUUUGCUAGUUCCUACCAUCAUGACAUGAUUGGUUAUCCAUCAAAUGGACCGGUCUGAACAGCCAAGAGUGUACCUUUACUAAUGAAGACUGUGAAUGCCUCUUUUGCAUCUAUUACUAGACCUCUAUAAUAUAUCUUUAGAGCUUCCGGACAGUAAUGCAGGAUUGCUAUCUGCAGAAUACUACUGCAUGAAUCCGUAAGCCUCCUUGCUGAAGUCUUACUUUCUUGUUCUUCAUGAUUAUUGGACUUGCUUCAAUAAAACGUCUUCCUCUUUCACCAUUUAAAGGCACAUGGUUCGAAGAAAAGCCUGAUUGUGAUACAAUGGAACCUAUAUGAAAAUUAAAUGGUAUAAAGAUGAAUUUUGUUGACUGUUGAUUUUAAAUAGUUGGCUGUUGCAGUGCUACACAUGUCCAGAGUGUGAGCAAAAGUUCUACUCCUAUGAAGAUCUCUUGUGAUAUGUGAACUACGCAAAAGCUGCUAAGCUUUCAAUCUACGCUGAUGAUUUCUGUGCCGUAAAACCUUCCUGUAGGUCAAAGAAAAGAGCUAGCACGCCUGAACUGAAUGCAGACUCGGAUCCGGAUGACGUGACAUACAAAUUCCCUCCCAUUGAUCAGUUUGACUGGUUUGAGGAUGAGCUGGGUCUGGGAGAGUCUGAGAAGCAAUUUGUAUAUGGUUUAACGGGGUUCGAGAAGAACCCGGGUUCGAAUGAAGGUUGCAGCUCUAGCAUGGGAAAUGCCAAGAAGCAGAAGAAAUCAGUGGAAGAUGGUGAAGGUGAAGAUUGAUCAGCAAGUUCGUGUUCUGUUUUUACAAGUGUUUUAGCAUAUGAAUAAAUGAAAGGAAACAAAACUUAGAAAACUGAGUGUUGUGUGUACCUUUUAUGUUUACCUUUU